UGGGGAAUUUUGGACAAUGGGCGCAAGCCUGAUCCAGCAAUGCCGCGUGCAGGAUGAAGGCCUUCGGGUUGUAAACUGCUUUUGUACGGAACGAAAAGCCUCUCUCUAAUACAGGGGGUGAUAACGGUACCGUAAGAAUAAGCACCGGCUAACUACGUGCCAGCAGCCGCGGUAAUACGUAGGGUGCAAGCGUUAAUCGGAAUUACUGGGCGUAAAGCGUGCGCAGGCGGUUUUGUAAGACAGUGGUGAAAUCCCCGGGCUCAACCUGGGAACUGCCAUUGUGACUGCAAGGCUGGAGUGCGGCAGAGGGGGGAUGGAAUUCCGCGUGUAGCAGUGAAAUGCGUAGAUAUGCGGAGGAACACCGAUGGCGAAGGCAAUCCCCUGGGCCUGCACUGACGCUCAUGCACGAAAGCGUGGGGAGCAAACAGGAUUAGAUACCCUGGUAGUCCACGCCCUAAACGAUGUCAACUGGUUGUUGGGGAUUUAUUUCUUCAGUAACGAAGCUAACGCGUGAAGUUGACCGCCUGGGGGAGUACGGCCGCAAGGUUAAAACUC
rnacentral:rRNA from 1 species